rnacentral:lncRNA from 10 species
CACUUUAAGAAGGGGGCUCAGACUGGUGAUCAUUACUGACUUGAGUUUUUUGCCUAUAAUUUGUUUAAUAACAAUAGCAGCUACCAUUUAUUGACCAUCUAUCCUGUGCCAGAUGCAUUAACUACAAUAGCUUAUUUAACCAUAAGCCAUCAGGUAGGGACCAGCAUUUCCCUGGCAGAUGGGGCCACUGGAGCUCGGGGAGGCCGCAUGACUCACCCCAGGCCCGAAAGCCAGUGAGAGACACACCCAGCUCAGAGGCUUCACAGUCUGUGUUCCUGUCCCUGUGCCACAUCAUUAAUAUAACUAGCAGGGUUCUCUGCAGAAACACCCAACUCCUUGUUUCUCCCUCCUCGGGUAUUAGCUUAAGUUCUUCCCAGAGCUUGGGCCUCCCCUAGACAUUCCGGGGGCCACAGAGCAUGGCCAAUAAUUGCUAUCACCCCAAUUUCUUAGGAGCAUUUUUGAAGAGAAUAGCACAUUAGUUAAAACUGAAUGUGCAUUUCAAUAGUGCAUUCACAGGCCCUGAAACUGUUAAUAGAGGAAAUACUUUUGAACAGAGAACUUUCAUGUCAUUCUCUCUACAAGCCGUUCAUUCCUUUCUUCAUAUAUUCAUGUAUUAUUUACUUAUUCAGUACAGUAUAAUGGCUAAUAAUUUGGGUUCUGGAGCCAGGCUGCCUGGAUUCAAUUCCCCAUUUAUGAGCUUUUUGAAGCUAAUCUUUCUGUGUGUCAGUUUCUCUAUCUGAAAAAUGGGAGUAACACCUCCUAGGGUUGAGGUGAGGAUUAAGUGGAUUAGUUUACUUAAAACACUCAGAACAGUGCUUGGCCCCAGUAAAUGCUAACAUGUGCCAGGAGAUAGCAAGUCCUAUGGGGGACAGUUCCCGCCCUGGAGAUGCUCACAGUUCAAGGAGGGAGUCAGGGACGCUCUAUCCACUCCACCUACCAGCCAGGACAAGGACAGGACGAGGCCAGAUCUGCUCGGCUUCUCCAGGGACUUUUCUUUCCCAGGUAGGAGAGGCUUUUAGGAUGCUGAGGUUUGGCCCUAACAAGGGCUCAUCUCCCCAGGGAGGCUGGCUGAUGAUCAAGUCCUGGCACUAGCAGUGCUGACCCCAGGCACCUCACAGCACAAGACACAGCCCAAGAAGAAAAGUCUCAGCCGUAAGUAGGGCAUUGGCCUGGGCUUUGUCGUUCGCUAAAGACAUCCGCUGCCCCCAGUGCUUUGUGCCUUUAGAUCUGGCUGUUGCCCCAUUGAGGCGACAGCCUGUGAUCUCCUCCUUUUGCUGGAGCUCGAACAGAACAAGGCUGGAGUCUCAUUUGUCUGUCUGAGACUUUUAGAACCAGGCAGCUUGAAAAAAUGAAGGGAUAAAAGAAGCCGGCCAGCAAUUAGGUAAUGCCAGCCUGCCUGCCAGGCUCCCCGCAUGGAGCUACCCUGGAGUUCACUGGGGAGAGCAGACAUGUGGAUUCUGGGGCUGGAGGGGUCCCAGCAUGCACUAGGGGGGCAGUGGUGUGGGGGAGGCAGUGUGUUUGGGGUGGUUCUGGAGCUCCCCUCUCGCCCGCCUCUAGCCUUUUCUAGCUGGGUGACCUUGGGCAAGUUGCCUUACCAAUCCCAGCCUGUGCGUCUCGUGGGUUUACUGGUGGCAUUUGAGUAACUAUCAGAGGCUUCAUAAGUAUUGGUUGCUCUCUUCUGGUUUUUUUUUUUUUUUUUUUUUUUUGAGAUGGAGUCUCGCUCUGUCACCAAGGCUGGAGUGCAGUGGCAUGAUCUCAGCUCACUGCAAACUCCACCUCUCGGGUUCAAGAGAUUCUCCUGCCUCAGCCUCCCAAGUAGCUAUCAUGCCUGGCUAAUUUUUGUAUUUUUUUAGUAGAGAUGGGUUUCACCAUGUUGGCCAGGUUGUUCUCAAACUCCUGACCUCAGGUGAUCCGCCUGGGCCUCCCCAAAUGCUGGGAUUACAGGCGUGAGCCACCGCGCCUGGCCGGUUGCCUUUCUUCUUUCCCCACUUCUGCUGCCCAAGUUUGGGACAAUUCUGUUUAUUCACACCUGCUCCAAAGGAAGUGAAAUCCAGCUCAUUUCUCCUUCUUAUUGGUAGUAUUGCCCAAGGGCUGGAGGGACCAUGGGAAUGGGCAGGGAGGAGCUUUGAGAUGUGAGUGGAGUCCUGCUAUCCACAAUAUGCAGCCUCCAGGACUGGCUGGUUCUUUUCCAAGUGUGGUCCAAGUCUGGGUGUGGAGAGUGAAAUGAAGUAGAGACAGUCUGCUCUGGGCCAUAAGUGCUUGCUAAGUGCUGGGGCUUCUUUAGUGGGGUGAGGGCAGUGGUCAUCUUUCUCUGUCCUUGGAAGUAAGUUUGAGAAGCAAGAAUUAAGGGCUGCCUAGAGGGUCGGCUGGCCAAAACGCAGCCAGAUAUAGCAACUUCACCCCCAGAGGCAGGGUUACUCCAGGGUGAAUCUUAGCACAGAGCCUGGUGCACGGUGGAAGGUCUGCCAAUGCCUGCCUUGAAGGAGUAUUCUAUGUGCUUUUCUUCCCUUUUUUCCCCAGCUCUUUGUGCAGGAUUUCUUCCCAAGUCUGUUAGAGGCAUCCUCAUUGUCUCAAGAAGUUCACGGUUUUAUAGGUCUUUGAUUAUUGUCUUAGUGAGCUUAAUCUGCCAUAACAAAAUAUUAUAAACAUCAGGAAAGGAAUUUAUUUUUUCAUGGAUCUGGAGGCUAGAAAAUCCAAAAUCAAGAUCAAGAUGCCAGCAGGGUCAGAGUCUGGCAAGAGCUCUCUCCUUGGGUUGCAGAUGGCUUCCUUCUCUGAGAGAGAGAAUAGAAAGAAGAGAGACAGGAGACAGGAGAGGAAAAGGAAAGGAGAGGAGAGGAGGGGAGGGGAGGGGAAGGCAGGGGAGGGGAAAGAAGGGGAGGGGACAGAGAGAGAGAAAGAGUGCCCAAUCUCUGUGAUCUAUUCUGAUAAAGGCACUAAUCCCAUCAUGAGGGCCCCACCCUCAUGACCUCACCUACUCCUAACUACCUCCCAAAGACCCCAUCUCCAAACACUAUCACACCGAGGUUAGAACUCAAACAUGAAUUUGGAGGGAGUAAGGGCCACAAUUCACUCCAUAGCAAGAAUCAAAAGGGAAGGCUUGAGGGAUGCAUGGUAUGGAGUUGUUUUUUUUUUUUUUUUUUUUUUUAAUCAUAACAGUAGACUAGAAUAGACUAGAAAGACAAGAGACAAGAACGAAACUUCACUGCCCUCCCCACCUCCCCACCCCACUACUGCUGCUGCCUCCACAAAUAUUCCAGCCCCAAAGACAAGGAGGGUUACCUGGAGGGGUGGAGUGGGGUUGGGUGGGGAGGAGACAGUUUGGAGAAGGUUAGAGACAAGAGACCAGAGUAGAAGGUGGAGGGGAGGACAGGAGAGGGGAGAGAGAUGGGGCAAGGAGGAACAAGUCUGUGUGAGAAGAGUUGCCACACACGUGGGCCAGUGUCAGGCUCCCAGCCAGAUACCAGGCCAGUGUGGAGACUAAACCCACGUCCUCCCGGAGGAGCCAAUGCUUGCAAACCAUUCCCCUGCCUCCAGGGGGCGCUGCUUAGCCCCAGGCUGGGGAGCCACAUUGAAUUAAUUGAAGUAAAGCGUUUACACUAGUUCAUGGCACUUCCCCGGCCCUGAACGUGCCUCUGUGCAAGGCUGCCUGCGUGUACCCUGUGGAUCAGAUACUUGCUUGCACCCAAGGCUUUUCCUAAGCCCCUCUGAACUGUCCCAUAUAAACACUAAUUUUCAAGGGCUAGGAAAGCCAUAAACUCCCUCAAAAAUAAAUAGGGCUGGAGGCAGUGGUUCAUGCCUAUAAUCCCAGUACUUUGGGAGGUCAAGGUGAGUGGAUUGCUUGAGCCCAGGAGUUCAAGGCCUGUCUGGGCAACAUGGCAAAACCUCUUCUCUACAUUUUUUUUUUUAAUUAGCUGCAUGGUGGUGCAUGCCUGUAGUCUGAGCUACUUGGGAGGCUGAGGUAGGAGGAUGGCUUGAGCCUGGGAGGCAGAGGUUGUAGUGCGCCGAGAUCACACCACUGCACUCCAGCAUGGGCGACAGAGUGAUACCCUGUCUCAAAAAAGUAAAAUUACAUUAAAUUAAUAAAUAGAAGAAAGCCUUUGCACCCAAAGGCAGAGUGCUAACAGGAAGGAAAAAUCCCAGCCUUACUGCUCUGAGGGGUCAGGAGAGUAGGGAGCCCACCUCACUUGUUAUAUAACAUUAAUACAUGUGAUUAUAUAACAUCAGCAGCACAGUGUAGCAGUUAGGUACCCAGGCCUUGGAGCCAGACUGCCACCGCAUAGGUUGUGGCUUUGUCCCUUCCUAGCAGUGUGAUCUUGGGUUUCUGAAUAUCUCUAUGCCUCUGGCCGGGCAUGGUGGCUCAUGCCUCUAAUCCCAGCACUUUGGGAGGCUGAGGCGGGCAGAUCACGAGGUCAGGAAUUCAAGACCAGCCUGUCCAACAUAGUGAAACCCCAUCUCUAUUAAACAUACAAAAACUAGCCGGGCGUGGUGGUGCACACCUGUAAUCCCAGCUACUCGGGAGGCUGAGGCAGGAGAAUCACUUGAACCCAGGAGGCGGAGGUUGCAGUGAGCCGAGAUCACGCCACCGCCCUCCAGCCUGGGCAAAAAAGUGAGACUCCGUCUUGGAAAACAAACAAACAAAACACACACACACACACACACACACACACACACACACACACACACACAUAUAUAUACACACAUAUAUGUGUAUAUAU